CUACCGCGAAUAUCAAAACAGGGU
rnacentral:siRNA from 1 species